GCGCCCAUAGCUCAACUGGAUAGAGUGCUUGACUACGAAUCAAGAGGUUGAGGGUUCAAGUCCUUCUGGGCGCGCCA
rnacentral:tRNA from 1 species